UGGGGAAUCUUGCACAAUGGGCGAAAGCCUGAUGCAGCAACGCCGCGUGCGGGACGAAGGCCUUAGGGUUGUAAACCGCUUUCAGCAGGGAAGAAGAUGACGGUACCUGUAGAAGAAGGUGCGGCCAACUACGUGCCAGCAGCCGCGGUGACACGUAGGCACCAAGCGUUGUCCGGAUUUAUUGGGCGUAAAGAGCUCGUAGGCGGUUCGGUAAGUCGGGUGUGAAAACUCUGGGCUCAACCCAGAGCCGCCACCUGAUACUGUUGUGACUCGAGUGCGGUAGGGGAGCGGGGAACUCCUGGUGUAGCGGUGAAAUGCGCAGAUAUCAGGAAGAACACCAGUGGCGAAGGCGCCGCUCUGGGCCGUGACUGACGCUGAGGAGCGAAAGCGUGGGUAGCAAA
rnacentral:rRNA from 1 species